rnacentral:rRNA from 1 species
UACCCGCAGCACAAGUGGUGGUCAUUAUUAUUGGGCCUAAAGCGUCCGUAGCUGGCCUGUUAGAUGCCUGGGUAAAUCGAUGCGCUCAACGUAUCGAACUCCGGGUAGACCGGCAGGCUUGGGACCGGGAGAGAUGUGAGCUACUCGAGGGGUAGGGGUAAAAAUCCUGUAAUCCUUCGGGGAGGACCAGUGGCGAAGGCGCACAUUAGAACGGCUCCGGACAGUGAGGGACGAAGCCCUGGGGCGCAAACCGGG